rnacentral:rRNA from 1 species
UACGUAGGGUGCAAGCGUUGUCCGGAUUUAUUGGGCGUAAAGAGCUCGUAGGCGGCUUUGUAAGUUGGGUGUGAAAACUCCAGGCUUAACCUGGAGACGCCACUUGAUACUGCAAUGGCUAGAGUCUGGUAGGGGAUCACGGAAUUCCUGGUGUAGCGGUGAAAUGCGCAGAUAUCAGGAGGAACACCGGUGGCGAAGGCGGUGAUCUGGGCCAGUACUGACACUGAGAGACGAUAGCUGGGGGAGCGAAUAGG